rnacentral:rRNA from 1 species
UACGGAGGGUGCAAGCGUUGCUCGGAAUUACUGGGCGUAAAGGGCGUGUAGGCGGUUUCGUAUGUCUGGCGUGAAAGCCCCGGGCUCACCUCGGGAAGUGCGUCGGAAACUGCGAGACUAGAGUCCCGGAGAGGGAGGUGGAAUUCCAGGUGUAGCGGUGAAAUGCGUAGAUAUCGGGAGGAACACCGGUGGCGAAGGCGGCCUUCUGGACGGAUACUGACGCUGAUACGCGAAAGCGUGGGGAGCAAACAGG